rnacentral:rRNA from 1 species
UUGGGAGCUCUCCCAUAUGGUCGACCUGCAGGCGGCCGCGAAUUCACUAGUGAUUCGUAUUACCGCGGCUGCUGGCACGAAGUUAGCCGGGGCUUAUUCUGCGGGUACCGUCAUCAUCGUCCCCGCCAAAAGAGCUUUACAACCCGAAGGCCUUCAUCACUCACGCGGCAUGGCUGGAUCAGGGUUGCCCCCAUUGUCCAAUAUUCCCCACUGCUGCCUCCCGUAGGAGUCUGGGCCGUGUCUCAGUCCCAGUGUGUCCGUCCACCCUCUCAGGCCGGAUACUGAUCGAUGCCUUGGUGAGCCGUUACCUCACCAACUAGCUAAUCGGACGCGGACUCAUCUUUUGGCGAUAAAUCUUUAUCCCGUAGGAACCAUUCGGUAUUAGCCCUAGUUUCCCAAGGUUAUCCCGAACCAAAAGGCAGAUAUCCACGCGUUACUCACCCGUGCGCCACUAAUGUAUUGCUACAUUCGUUCGACUUGCAUGUGUUAAGCCUGCCGCCAGCGUUCGUUCUGAGCCAGGAUCAAACUCUAAUCGAAUUCCCGCGGCCGCCAUGGCGGCCGGGAGCAUGCG